rnacentral:rRNA from 1 species
ACGUAGGUGGCAAGCGUUGUCCGGAAUUAUUGGGCGUAAAGGGCGCGCAGGCGGCGUCGUAAGUCGGUCUUAAAAGUGCGGGGCUUAACCCCGUGAGGGGACCGAAACUGCGAUGCUAGAGUAUCGGAGAGGAAAGCGGAAUUCCUAGUGUAGCGGUGAAAUGCGUAGAUAUUAGGAGGAACACCAGUGGCGAAAGCGGCUUUCUGGACGACAACUGACGCUGAGGCGCGAAAGCCAGGGGAGCAUACGA